GAAAUGCGAUAAGUAAUGUGAAUUGCAGAAUUCAGUGAACCAUCGAAUCUUUGAACGCACAUUGCGCCCGGCAGUAAUCUGCCGGGCAUGCCUGUCCGAGCGUCAUUUCUGCCCUCGAGCGAGUCCAGCAUCUAGGUGCUGGGCCCGCCCGGCGUUGGGGCACUACGGGAAGCCCUGUGCUGUCCCCCGUAGGCCCCGAAAUGAAGUGGCGGUCCUGCCGCGGCGCCCCCUGCGUAGUAUUACAGCUCGCUUCGGGACCCGGUGGAGGCCUGCCGUCAAACCUUACUCUCUAAGUUUGACCUCAGGUCAGGCGGGGCUACCCGCUGAGUUUAA
rnacentral:misc_RNA from 1 species